ACGCAAUACAAUACAACUUUCAGCAACGGAUCUCUUGGCUCUCGCAUCGAUGAAGAACGCAGCGAAAUGCGAUACGUAAUGUGAAUUGCAGAAUUCAGUGAAUCAUCGAAUCUUUGAACGCACCUUGCGCCCCUUGGCAUUCCGAGGGGCACACCCGUUUGAGUGUCGUGAAAUUCUCAAAAACCUUUUCUUUCGGUCAUUUUUGACCAUGGAAAGGAUUUUGGACUUGGAGGCCUUUUGCUGGCUUCACCUUGAAGCAAGCUCCUCCCAAAUGAAUUAGUGGGGUCUGCUUUGUCGGUCCUUGGCGUGAUAAGUUGUUUCUACGUCUCGGAUUUUGGCACUGUACACCUGCUUCUAACCGUCUCAUCGACAACGAUGGUGUUCCGGUCACCGCCGAUUCUUCGGUGGGAGGCUUGACCCACGAAACAGACCUUGACCUCAAAUCGGGUGAGACUACCCGCUGAACUUAAGCAUAUCAAUAAGCGGAGGAAAAGAAACCAACAGGGAUUACCUCAGUAACGGCGAGUGAAGCGGUAACAGCUCAAAUUUGAAAUCUGGCUCUUUUAGGGUCCGAGUUGUAAUUUGUAGACGAUGCUUUGGGUGUGGUGCCGGUCUAAGUUCCUUGGAACAGGACGUCAUAGAGGGUGAGAAUCCCGUAUGUGAUCGGUCGCUUCGCCCGUGUAAAGCUCGUUCGACGAGUCGAGUUUGUUUGGGAAUGCAGCUCAAAUGGGUGGUAAAUUUCAUCUAAAGCUAAAUAUUGGCCAGAGACCGAUAGCCGCACAAGUUAGAGUGAUCGAAAGAUGAAAGCCACUUUUGAAAGAGGGUUUAAAAGUACGUGAAA
rnacentral:rRNA from 1 species